ensembl:lncRNA
GUCUAUGAUUUCCCAGCACUGAUAAUUAAUUUUAAUCUGUCAGUUGUUUUAAUAGUCUGGUUGAUUGCUCUGUAUUCUGAUUUGAUGUCCACAGAUCCAACUGUUCCCAGGCAUGUGGUUCAGUCAUGCAGGUCAGUUGGUGUCUGUCCAGCUUGUGAUCCAGCCGAGUUCCAUGUCAUCAACUGGCCGCGUCCACAUCCUCAGACCAUACUGCAGUCCCAGCCAACACUUGGUGCCUCCAGGUGAUGGGUGUCAAGGUUUACUGAAAGCUUGUUUUUGAUUAAACCAUCCCCCAACAAUCAUUUUUUUGCUCUCCAGGUUGCAGCUCUGUCCUGAAUCCAUUCAGCUACUGUUCAUCGCAGCCGUUAUGUAACACCACAGGGGGCUGUAGCCUGGGCCAGUACUGGUGUCACCUGUCUGAGAGCUGUUUGUACAACAGAAAUCCCUGCAGCCCUUAUGAUGCUGUAACUGGUACCCGUGGCUAUGCUUUACCCCCCAGAUACCCUGCAAUACCACCUUUCUACCACAUGGCAGCAGAUAUGCCUCUAAGAAUGAACCCUAGCUCUGAACAUCAAACUUUUAAACUCAUUCUUCCAGAUGAACCAAUCAUGGUGUAUCCUGAUGAUAUUGUGGCAAUUCAACACACUCGCAACUCUGGGACAUUCCUCCAUUGCUUGAGUAAUGAAGCUUCUAUGGACUCCCCUUGGCGCCAAAGUUACAUGACCUUUAGGGGGUCAGAGUGGGGAGGCUGGUGGGACGGUAGCUCCCCUCUUCUACCUCAAGCAGGGCAGUGGGUGGAUGGGGUGCUGUGUGAUCUGAAGAUACUCUAUGUGGACCAUCUUCAAAGUGAGGCAGAGCAUAAUGACCAUUUACUCUUCAACCUCGGAGGGACAACCACCAUCCCAGAUAUUAGGGCCUCACCGACUGAUCUGAGAGUGAGAUUUGGACUUACUAUUAUACACCCCGUGCCGAAUGAAAACAACCACAUUUGUGUCGAAAUCAAUGUUUCCGUUCGCAUUAUUGUCAAAGUCUUGUCUGGGCAGAGAGCUCGGAGCUCCUGGUCAACCCCGGUUCAUCAGACAGGUGUCCCCUUCCUUCCGUCUUGCCCUGAGGAGAUGCUUUCUUCCUGUCCUGGCUGUGCAACACGAUCCCCUGAUGACUGGUUUUCCUCUGUCACAUUGGUAUUGCCCUCUGUUGGUGUCCAAAUAAUGAACAUCAGUGUGACGGAUGGAGUGAGGUCUCAGAAUGUGAGUGUGGAGGUUCAUGGCUUUGAGGCAAUAACAGGGCUCACUAUUGAGUCACAUGGAUGCCCGAGGAUGCUCAUCAACACCCCACAGGUGAGAAUGAAGUUUCUUCAUGUUCUAAUUUAUGAAUUAUAACUGAUUUAAUAAUGAUGGGCCCAUUUGUUUGGUUUAUGAACUGAAUAAAUAUAAGUAAUACAUGAUACCAAAAAAAUCUUUAUUUAAAGGUUUUGGAUUUCCUUUUGGUGGUGAUAUAUUGUAUUUUCAUUUCCAGUCAUUUACAGCUAAAAUAAAAAGGGGAUCCUCAGUAAAAUUCACAUGGGUGAUUGAUGACUUGGAGAAAUUUGUCCAUGUCGGAGAAGCCUACAGUGUAGUGUUCAAGAAGCCUUCAGAGUAUAAACUAAAGGUAACUCGAGGAUUCCAGAAUUUGUCUCCGUGCCUCAUGAGCAUAAAUUCAAGUUUACUGCUAAAUUAA